GUUAACGUUCAUGUCACGUUGAAUACACCAGUUCUCGACCGACGACCGAUCACUAAGUUAAGUAACGUCGAGCAUGGAUAUUACUUGGAUGGGUGACCGCUUGGGAACACCAGGAAACGUUAGGU
rnacentral:rRNA from 1 species